UAAUAGGAAAAAAAAGCGGUAGUUGUUCAGAGAAAAAAAUGAGAAGACACUAAUAUGGUAAAAUAAUAGAAAGAAUAAAACAAAAAUAAAACUUGAUUAAAAAAAUAUAUAGAAAGAAUAAAACAACCAUAGGAAAUAAAUUAAAGUAAAAAUAUCGAAUGGUUCCACUUUCUACCAAUUGUAGGGGAUGCGAUUUUGCGUCCCUGUCUCCUCUCUCCUAAUCAUACAUACUCAACAUAUAACAUCUCUACGCC
rnacentral:lncRNA from 1 species